rnacentral:rRNA from 1 species
UGAUGGAAAGUUGAAAAGAACUUUGAAGAGAGGGUUCAAGAGUACGUGAAACCGCCAUGGGAAAAAACGGAUGGGACCUCGAAGGCCGGGCGUCGGGGAUUCAGCCGAACGGGUCGGGCGGUCGCGCGUCUCCGAUCGCGAGACGGAGCGCGCGAUCGACUGCGGCCUCGGACGGUGCACUUCCCCGUCGCCGGACGUUGCGACCGGUCGGACGGCUGCCAACGGGUGUCGCGAGAGACCGCCGGACGGAUCAGUCCCCCGGCGAAUCGCGGCUCUCCGGCAGUCCGCCCGACCGUCUCCGAAAGGUUGGGCGCCCGCGCACGACGCGUCAGUCCAGAACUCUGACGGCGGCGCCCAGCUCGGCAGCGAGUAGGUCGGCGACCCAUCCGACCCGUCUUGAAACACGGUCCAAGGAGUCUAACAUGUGAGCGAGUGAUUGGGUGUACCGAGACCCAAACGCACAAUGAAAGUGAAGGCUCGGAUUGCCGAGCCGAGGGGCGAUCCCGCAGCCUGUCGGCAGCGGGCGCAGCCCCGGGACGCGCCGAUCGCCUCGUCGACGGCUCGUACCCAGAGCGUACACGUUGGGACCCGAAAGAUGGUGAACUAUGCCUGGCCAGGACGAAGUCAGAGGAAACUCUGAUGGAGGUCCGUAGCGAUUUUGACGUGCAAAUCAAUCGUCCGAGCUGGGUAUAGGGGCGAAAGACUAAUCGAACCAUCUAGUAGCUGGAUCCAUCCGAAGUUUCCCUCAGGAUAGCUGGCGCUCGCANGACCGAGUUUCAUCCGGUAAAGCGAAUGAUUAGAGGCCUUGGGGCCGAAACGANCUCAACCUAUUCUCAAACUUUAAAUGGGUGAGAAGUCGGGCUUGCUCGACUGAAGCACCGACCNUNGAAUCNAGAGUGCCAAGUGGGCCACUUUUGGUAAGCAGAACUGGCGCUGUGGGAUGAACCAAACGCAGAGUUAAGGUGCCCGAGAGAACGCUCAUCAGAUCCCAUGAAAGGUGUUGGUUGCUAUAGACAGCAGGACGGUGGCCAUGGAAGUCGGAA